CCCGGGCCGCCGCGGCGCCUGCGCGCGUCGCCCCAGGGGCGCCGCGGGGGCAGCGCCGCGGAAGGCGCCCAGUGCGCAGGCGCGGGCCGGCUGCCCGGCGCGGGGGCGGUGCGCGUGCGCCGAGUGACCGUUAAACGGCCGCGGCCGCUCGUUGCUUCCCUGUCAGGGGUUUCCUGAGGCAGCGCGAGCGCCGGCGGCUUCUCGGUGUCCGCCGGCGGGCUCAGCUCCGCGCUGCUGGGGGCGUCCGGCUCGCUGAGGGACCGUUUUCUCCUCGUGGUUGUGUGUCCUGUUAAUCGCUCGGCUUCCCACACGGCGCCGGGGCCUCUCUGCCCGCCCACGCCGAGCCGGGCAGUGCCGCUGGCCGGCUCCCAAGGCCUCGUCUCUGCUCGUCGCUCCCCGCCGUCUCGGGAGAGGAGAUGGAAAAUAGCCCAAAGCGGUGUGGGGUGGCGGCGCUCCCUCCAGGCCCCUGGGCCUCCCUAUUCCCUGAGACCCAACAGUAUUGAAAUUAGACCAAUUAAUAACCCCACAAUGGUCUGUGAAAGGAGGAGUUGCAUAUCUCUUACCUUAAAUCAAAAGCUAGAAAUGAUUAAGCUUAGUGAGGAAGGCAUGUCAAAAGCUGAGAUAGGCCGAAAGCUAGGCCUCUUGUGCCAAACAGUUAGCCAAGUUGUGAAUGCAAAGGAAAAGUUCUUGAAGGAAAUUAAAAGUGCUACUCCAGUGAACACAUGAAUGAUAAGAAAGCGAAACAGCCUUAUUGCUGAUAUGGAGAAAGUUUUAGUGGUCUGGAUAGAAGAUCAAAGCAGCCACAACAUUCCCUUAAGCCAAAGCCUAAUCCAGAGCAAGGCCCUAGCUCUCUUCAAUUCUAUGAAGGCUGAGAGAGGUGAGGAAGCUGCAGAAGAGAAGUUUGAAGCCAGCAGAGGUUGGUUCAUGCGGUUUAAGGAAAGAAGCCAUCUCCAUGACAUAAAAGUGCAAGGUGAAGCCGCAAGUGCUGAUGUAGAAGCUGCAGCAAGUUAUCCAGAAGAUCUAGCUAAGGUAAUUGAUGAAGGUGGCUACACUAAGCAACAGAUUUUCAAUGUAGAUGAAACAGCCUUAUAUUGGAAGAAGAUGCCAUCUAGGACUUUCAUAGCUAGAGAGGAGAAGUCAAUGCCUGGCUUCAGAGCUUCAAAGGACAGGCUGACUCUCUUGUUAGGGGCUAAUGCAGCUGGUGACUUUAAGUUGAAGCCAGUGCUCAUUUACCAUUCCGAAAAUCCUAGGGCCCUUAGGAAUUAUGCUAAAUCUACUUUGCCUGUGCUAUAUAAAUGGAACAACAAAGCCCAGAUGACAGCACAUCUGUUUACAGCAUGGUUUACUGAAUAUUUUAAGCCCACUGUUGAGACCUACUGCUCAGAAAAAAAGAUUCCCUUCAAAAUAUUACUGCUCACUGACAAUGCAGCUGAUCACCCAGGAGCUCUGAUGGAGAUGUACAAUGAGAUUAAUGUUGUUUUCAUGCCUGCUAGCACAACAUCCAUUCUUGCAGCCCAUGAAUCAAGGAGUAAUUUCCACUUUCAAGUCUUAUUAUUUAAGAAAUACGUUUUGUAAGGCUGUAGCUGCCAUAGAUAGUGAUUCCUCUGAUGGAUCUGGGCAAAGUAAAUUGAAAGCCUUCUGGAAAGGAUUCACCAUUCUAGAUGCCAUUAAGAACAUUUGUGAUUCAUGGGAGGAGGUCAAAAUAUCAACACUAAUGGGAGUUUGGAAGAAGUUGAUUCCAGCCCUUGUGGAUGACUUUGAGGGGUUGGAGACUUCAGUGGCGGAAGUAACUGCAGAUGUGGUGGAAGUAGCAAGACGACUAGAAUUAGAAGUGGAGCCUGAAGAUGUGACUGAAUUGCUGCAAUCUCAUGAUAAAACUUUAACAGAUGAGGAGUUGCUUCUUACGGAUGAGCAAAGAAAGUGGUCUCUUGAGAUGGAAUCUACUGGUGAAGAUGCUGUGAACCCUGUUGAAAUGACAACGAAGGAUUUAGAGUAUUACAUAAACUUAGUUGAUAAAGCAGCGGCAGGGUUUGAGAGGAUUGACUCCAAUUUUGAAAGAAGUUCUGUUGUUGGUAAAAUGCUAUCAAACAGCAUCGCAUGCUACAGAGAAAUCCUUCGUGGAAAGGAAGAGUCAGUCGAUGCAGCAAACUUCAUUUUAAGAAAUUGCCACAGCCACCUCAGCCUUCAGCAACCACCACCCUGAUCAGUCAGCAGCCAUCCACAUCAAGGCCAGACCCUCCAUCAGCAAAAAGAUUACGACUCCCUGAAGGCUGUGAUGAUGGUUAGCAUUUUUUAGCAAUAAAGUAUUUUUUAAUUAA